UCCUCUUCCCUGUGGUUAAACCUUAGGAAGGAACAUGAACAGAUCAAAGUGCUGAGAGAUCAUGGAAGCUGUCCCUUUUGGGUCAGUUCUUCCUUCUGCCUCUGCAGGUAAAACCAAACUAACUAUAAUCAACUAAAUUUGGGUGCUCUGUCACAGUGAGAUAAGAUACCAGGCCUGAAGUGGAAGAAAUAUUUACAUAAUUGUUUCUGGGAACAACAAAAAUUUCAGGAACACUUGGAAGAUGAAUCUUACAUUAAACUUCAUGAUUUAAAAACCUAUUUCCAAAAGCUGGUCCAGAAGAAUACCCGAAGUUUGCAUAUGAUAGGUACACUUUUCUGUAUCUUCUCUAGUUCUCCAGGGUCCACUUUCAGAUGUGGGGAAGUAGAACUGCACUCAAUAUUCAACAAGAUUUAUUCUGUACUCCUUUUCCAACUAUGUCUACUAUUCUGCUGCUUUCAUGAUCUCUUGUACGAGUCUAGAAUGCCAUUGUUUUCCCUAUCUUGCUACACUGACUUCAUAAACCCUGUUAUGAAGUGCUUGUUUUCCGCUCAUCAUCCUGGUCUCUGCUCCUCAUGGAUCUCUCACUGGUAUUUUCCACAUCCUUCUUCAAAUGUGGACCACAAAUUUCAACACAGAGGUUGCUAAAUCUGCUAAAUUGUAUCAGAGAAUCAGUUUAGAUCUGCUUCUCAAAGAUCUGUGAACACUUGAGGCCAAACAUAUCUGAAUUUUGAGGAAGCUCAGACUGAGGUGUGAUUCCAGAACUUUGUGAUAUAAGAAGAAACCUGUGCUGAUUUCCUACAGGGAUGACUAUAAGGAACAAACAAAACUACUAUUGCUCUAUUAACCUGAAGAUUAUGAGGGGAUUCAUACCAAAGAGCUGCUGGUGAAUUAAGUUUAUAACUACCUAUAUUAAUCUUAAAAUUAAUAAAUUAUCAUCAUACUGAA